GUUUUUUAGUGUCUUGAACGUGGGAUGCAGCAGCAUGCGUCGCAGCCGCCGCGGCAUAGCCUCGCUGCCGUGCACGAGUACGGAAGAGAAAAAUCCUGCGCGCUGGCCUGUCACCACGGUCCGCGCAUGGCAUCCGAGCCACGGAGCGCCAAGAUCGCCCAACAGAAGCCGGCAGCGCGCGAUUCUGCAAAGCCGCAGCUGCCCGACUGGCGAC
rnacentral:sRNA from 1 species